AUGCCCUACCGCCAGCUCCACCCUCUUGCUGGUCUCGAGAAGCUUGCCUCACCUAGGCUCCUCACCACCCACAUGUCGAUCACAUUGCUACCUCCGUCCGUGUCUAAUCUUGGUUGCCGUGUUGUGUACCUGUGCCACAAUCCCAAUGACGUGUUUGUGUCCUUAUGGCACUUCACCAACAAGGUAGGCGUGGACUACACCAUUCCCAUGGAUAAAGCAUUUGAGUUGUUUUCCGAUGGGCUGUCCCCGUAUGGGCCUAUAUGGGAACACAAUCUUGGUUUAUGGAAGAAAAGCAUAGUGGGGAGCGACAAUGUCCGUUUCUUGAAGUAUGACAAGAUGAUGGCCGAACUGGUCAAGCACGUCAAUAUGCUCGCCAAGUUCCUUUGUGUCCCCUUCACCAAGGAGGAGGUGAGCCGAAGAGUCGUGGAGGAUGUCAUGCACCGGUGUAGCUUCGAUAAGCUCAAGAGCUUACCAAUCAAUUCAUUAGGAGCAAUUGAUAGGAUUGGCGGGCUGCCAAUGGAGAAAUUUGCCUACUUUAGGACUGGGAAGGUCGGUGACUGGACAAACCACUUGACAGAAGAGAUGGCAAAUAAGCUGGAUUCCAUUGUCGAGGAGAAGUUGAGAGGACAUGGUCUCACAUUUUGA
rnacentral:rRNA from 1 species